GACGAACGCUGGCGGCGUGCCUAAUACAUGCAAGUCGAGCGGACGAAUCGAAAGCUUGCUUUUGAUUCGUUAGCGGCGGACGGGUGAGUAACACGUGGGCAACCUGCCCUGUAGACGGGGAUAACACCGAGAAAUCGGUGCUAAUACCGGAUAACACGAAGUGUCGCAUGACGUUUCGUUGAAAGACGGCGCAAGCUGUCGCUACAGGAUGGGCCCGCGGCGCAUUAGCUAGUUGGUGAGGUAACGGCUCACCAAGGCGACGAUGCGUAGCCGACCUGAGAGGGUGAUCGGCCACACUGGGACUGAGACACGGCCCAGACUCCUACGGGAGGCAGCAGUAGGGAAUCUUCCGCAAUGGACGAAAGUCUGACGGAGCAACGCCGCGUGAGCGAAGAAGGCCUUCGGGUCGUAAAGCUCUGUUGUUAGGGAAGAACAAGUAACGCAGUAACUGGCGUUACCGUGACGGUACCUAACGAGAAAGCCACGGCUAACUACGUG
rnacentral:rRNA from 1 species